AUCAUUCUGUUCAUACUUAGACCUCAAGCCUGUGUGUUAAGAACUUACUAAAUUUCAUAUCUAAAAUUGUUUUCUAGAGAGGAUUUUGUCCAUCUUAUUAUAAUAUCAUAUGAUGAGUGGUUAUAUACAGUUCAUGUUUUGUAAGGAGAAAAUUUGACACAUCUCCAAUUAGGUCAUCAGUUGUUUGAAGGAAGAUUGGAAAACCAAGGAAUGUGUUGCGCAUGAUGGAGAUCCCAAGAAGGAAAUUACAAGUCUGAAGUCAACAGCAAACCCAGGAAGGAAAGGACAACAUUUACCAAGAGCAAAUCCAAGGACUAGAAGCAGAAUUUGCCCAUCACAACUAUGUGACUAGACUGAGGAGAUACAAGAUAGCAGAGAAUCUGGAUCUCACCAAAAGACAGGAUCCUCUAAAUCUAACAAAUGCUUGUCUUGACUUUGCCAAAGCUUUUCAAGAUAUAAGCUUGGAGAAGUCUCCUGACAGAUAUCUGGUAUCUGACAGGGGGAAGAAAGAGAAAACAGCUGCAUGGGAAUUUAACAGGGAGUGGUAAAAAGGACAUUUUUACAGAGUGAAGGCUGCCAAAUGUAGAAGUAGUGGGAGAUCCUGCCACUUCACAAAAUCUUUUCCACAGUGCUAAUCAAAGGUGCAAUAUUGUGGAUUUUUAAAGCAGCUAAAAUGAGUGGAAUAAACAUACUGAGAACU
rnacentral:lncRNA from 1 species